CCCUUGGUCAAGUACAGAUAAGUAGUGUCAUCCCAGCAGGAGAAUGUUUUACCACCAACUAAGUCGUUAUCAAAAAUCAACUUUUGGUGAACAAGAUCGAGAUUAUCAUCACACCAUCCCUUUAUCCUGUCGUAAAUGCCGUGGCCAAGCGCUGAUUGAUAUUUUGUUACCAGCUGGCGCAAGUUGACCGUGGCUACACCAUAAAGAAAAUCAAACCUUGUUAGGUAAUCAUCUUCUUACCACCUACCUUGUGUAGUAAACUUUGUCAGCAUAGGACAGAUAACGCAUAUGGAAACUUCAACUUUAUAGAAACUUGAUAAUGACAAACGAGUAGAGCUGUGGGUUAUAAAAUCCUGGGUUCUACCAUCUCAGGAACAGUUGCUUGAAUAAACCGAAGGAACUCACAGCUCUCUCCUUUCUUGUUUCAAGACAACCAACACGAGCAAUGGCCAUUGUCCUGUUGGGAGUUCUCAGUCUUGCACUUUUAAGCAUUUACCCAGCUCGUGGGUGUAGUCAGUCGCCUGAUCAUCUUCACUCUGGAACUCGUGUGAACUGCAGCUACUGCAAUCUAACAAAGGUCCCUAAUUACUUGCCAGGAAACACAACCAUCCUGGAUAUAAGUCACAACAAUAUCUCCAUCUUAGACAAGACAUCACUGCUUCUGCCUCAUCUGCGAUACCUUGAUGCUUCAUUCAGUAACAUUUCAAAGCUUAGUGUGGAUGCAUUCCAUGAGACAACCAGCUUGAGAGUACUGCUUAUGGUUGGAAACAAGCUCAACUAUACUGACUACCCAGACGAAGUCUUCCUUCCUCUACAAAGGCUUCAGAAGAUCCACCUGCACAACAAUGAUGGCCAAAGGCAAGGCACUUACCCGAAGGCCUUUGGGAAACUUAGGUCUAUCCAGGAAAUAAGUCUUGAUACAUUUGAAGUCACUACAUUUGAUAAACUCUUUGCAAAUAUGACUAAUCUUACGACACUGUUGCUGGGUUUCCGGGUUGUAAAUUAAAGUCCUUAAAAAAUGACACUUUCGUCCAUUUUUCCAAAGCGCCCAUUGCAACUGUAAAUCUUGAUCAUUGUCCACUUGUAGACAUUGAGAGCAAUGCAUUUUCGUAUUUUGUGUCUAUAAGGUUCCUUAAUAUGUCGUAUGCAGGAUACUUUACCUCCGACUACAGCAGUAAAAUCUAUGUAUGGACUUAAAGGUAGGAACUUGUCCUCAGUGACAAUGGAUUCCGCAUUUGCUGGGUUUGGUAUGACAUGGCUUG